AAAGGAAUAAAGAUGGGAGAAAAUAAAAAAUGGCUGAAAUUUCACAAAAAAUCACUGUUUUAUUGAUUGCUGAUUUCAGUUCUUGAGGUUUUCAACUUCUGAACCAGUUCUGAUUCAUCUCGGUUUGAAAGUGGUUUGAAUCAAAAGCUGUGGCUUAUUUCUUUUGCUGUUGGUUUGCUAUUACUAUUUCCUCUUAGUCUCAGGCUGAUUUUGGUUUUUUUCUUGCUAUUAUUCAGGUACACACUUCUACCUUCCACCUAAUGUAAAGCUUGGUUUGGAAUCUAAAUGGAAAUAUGGAGCUUUGAGUGGUAGUUAUGUUCAUAGUUUAGUUUACUUGUUUAUUUUUAUUUUAUUUAGAGAGUUUUGCUUAUUGAAUAUGGACCAAAAAUUGGGAUUUUGAAUAUUGUAUGCUACAUGAUAGUUUGGAUUGGUUUCCAUUUUAGCCUAAGCCUUUUAAAUGUAGUCAUUUGGUGUUGCAUGUUUUGCUUUAAGGUUUGGAUUUGAACCUGUCAAAUGUGGCUGAUUCAAGAUCUUUUGGACUUUUAAAUGUGUACUAAGU
rnacentral:lncRNA from 1 species